rnacentral:rRNA from 1 species
GACGUAGGGCGCGAGCGUUGUCCGGAUUUAUUGGGCGUAAAGAGCUCGUAGGCGGCUUGUUGCGUCAGCUGUGAAAACCCGCAGCUCAACUGUGGGCUUGCAGCUGAUACGGGCAGGCUUGAGUUCGGUAGGGGAGACUGGAAUUCCUGGUGUAGCGGUGAAAUGCGCAGAUAUCAGGAGGAACACCGGUGGCGAAGGCGGGUCUCUGGACCGAUACUGACGCUGAGGAGCGAAAGCGUGGGGAGCGAACAGG